rnacentral:rRNA from 1 species
UGCGUAGGCGGCCCUAUAAGUAUGGUGUGAAAUCUCCCGGCUUAACUGGGAGGGUGCGCUAUAGACUGUGGGGCUAGAGUGUGGGAGAGGAAAGUGGAAUUCCUGGUGUAGCGGUGAAAUGCGUAGAUAUCAGGAGGAACACCGGUGGUGUAAACGGCUUUCUGGACCAUAACUGACGCUGAGGCACGAAAGCGUGGGUAGCAAACAGGAUUAGAUACCCUGGUAGUCCACGCCCUAAACGAUGCAUAUUUGGUGUGGGUCAUUCAGUUGAUCCGUGCCGGAGCUAACGCGUUAAAUAUGCCGCCUGGGGAGUACAGUCGCAAGGCUGAA